UACGUAGGGAGCAAGCGUUGUCCGGAAUCAUUGGGCGUAAAGCGCGCGUAGGUGGCCUCAUAAGUCCGCUGUGAAAGUCAAAGGCUCAACCUUUGAAAGCCGGUGGAUACUGUGAGGCUAGAGUACGGAAGAGGCGAGUGGAAUUCCUGGUGUAGCGGUGAAAUGCGCAGAUAUCAGGAGGAACACCGGUGGCGAAGGCGGCAUCCUGGACCAAUUCUGACGCUGAGGAGCGAAA
rnacentral:rRNA from 1 species